UCUUCAAUAAUAACACUGAACUGAUUGUCGUUGUCCUUACUUUUGAUGAAGCACAGUAGUAGAUUAGUUUAGCAAAUUUUACAGUAAUUUUUUAUCCAUUUAGAUAUGCAAUGAGAAUUCAAGAGCUUCCCAACCAGUGCUUUAUUUUACACAUCAUAUUGGUGCUAAUUUCCAGCACGGUUUAAUGUCUCAACAAGAUACAUACAAGCUGA